UCAGCGGCCAGCUAAGGGUGUCCCUGCAUCCAGGGUCCAGGCCAAAGGUGGAGCCCUGAUGGAACUCAGAAAAGAAGGGUGACUGAGAUCAACUUCAAGGAAGGGGCAGGCUCACUAUAUCAUGCUCACACCAACAUUGACAAACAGAAAAAUGAAUACGAGUGGAGUUUUGAAGAAGCGGGAGCUGAAGGAAUGGGCUGGCACACAGGCCCUGCCAAGCCACAAGUAGAACGUGGACAAGGCAAAGGCUGACUUGCCAUCUGAGGCCAGUUGCUGGCAUCUGACUGUCCCUAAGAACACAAAUCAGUGGUCAACACAGAAAUCACACUCUAAAGAGAAGCUGGUUUCAAGACUGGCUGUUGCUAUUUGCUUUCAAUUGAAUGUGCAAAGUUUCCCCUUUUGCCUUCAGGACCAUAGCAAAUGCCUCCUUUAUAGAUGGACAAGGGAGACCCUUGCCAGCAGGAUUGUGCUAUAGCCUCCCUGCCUAACCACGAGGACGCAUGAGGACUAGAACAUUUGCUCUGCUUCUACACAGCAUUGGCAAGAGUUUGAACACCUCUGUCUCAAACCAACAGAAAGAAUUGUCCAGGAAGGGCUCUCACUAACAUACUCCCCUAAAUAUUCUUGUGUGAAAAGAAGAGAUAUGUUGCUAUGAGUGGGUCUUUCAGUUGGUAUUUGUAGGACUGCAAAGUUGUAAAGCUGGCAACAUGGUAAUAGCUUAGACUUUAAAAUUUUGUGAUUUACUACUUGAUAUGGUAGCACAAAAUUAGACCUUCAAAAAUAAUACAGGCUUGGUCACCUUACUUAUAAGCUCUAUUAAUGACAAUAAUUUUAUAGAGAAAAUUGCUCCUCUUUAGGCAAUGCCUCAUCUGACUUGAUGCUCUCUGCAGCAGAAGGUGAAAUUAAAAUAAUUACAAACUUGAUCUUGGCUGUGACACCUGAAUUGACCCUUUGAAGGAACCUGGAUUAUGUCUGAAUCUGUUAUCUCUGCAAGGAGACCAGCUGUCUUCAGAACUGCUUUUGGGGCCCCAUCUUGUCAUCGUGAAAUUGCAGUUAGGAAAAUAUGUUCUUCGUGGAUUCCUUCCCCAGCUGUGGCUGCUUAAGAUAGCAGACAGUCCAAUGACAGCAAUGAAAAGCAAAGAGGGCAGAAAGCUGCAGCCUGCCCAUGAAAAUUUGCAGAGGAGAAUUUGUGAAUUUCAGGCAGACAGGCAGGAGCAGACUGUCUUGUGCAGAGAAAUCAACA
rnacentral:lncRNA from 1 species